rnacentral:sRNA from 1 species
GGAAAUUCCAUUUGUACACUCUAAUGUACAAUCUCUUCACAUGAAAGGGGUCCACACUGAGAGGGAUGUACACUGUAGUGUACAUGUAGCAAAUCUCUAAAAAGAAAAGGAACUACAAUGAGUGUAAUGUACCUCUUAUCCUUGCAUCCUUCCAAGAGUAGGGGAAGACUCAUUACUUGAAGAAUACAAAGUCGACAUGGGACGACAAAAACACAGUGCAUAGUUGAAGGAGAAACAUCAUGCCCCUGUUAGGUGGGGACUAACAUCAGUUCUUAGUAGAUUUUGAUAAAAAUUUGAUGAAAUGUGUGGUUAAAAAGUUGUGUAUUCCAUAAAAUGUAUGAUUAAAAUUAGUUAUUGAUUUUGAUGGGGUCAUGUGAUAUCCCAGCAACUCACCCUUUGGUGGACCUAAAAACCAAUAUUUUAGAACAAAAAUAAUUAAUAAUAAAGUCAAUAGUACGUUAUUUAGUAGAUGGGAAUUGGGAUGCUUCCAUUUUAUCCUUACAAUACUCAAGUUUUCUUCCAUUUUCCGAGGGGCAUAAUAGAUUCAUGUUUGGAUAACUUCAAAAGUCACAAGUUACUUUUAAAAUUUCAAAGCAUAUAAAAUCCCCUUUUAGGCCUUCAAAGGUGUAAUAUAGGGAGUGAAAACAGAGCUUGAUACUUAACUACAAGACAAGCGAUUGGUUCACCAAACUUUGUUUCAGUGUAACCCAUUCUUUUAAGUCCAAGAAUUUGAGCAGAGCAUCACUCAAUGAGGGGACCUCAGAGAUGGCAAUCGAGCUCGUUUGCUAAAAAAAAGCUUGAGCCUGCCCAACUCGAGGCUCGGACCGAGUACCAUUUUUGUGUACUGGGCAAAGCUCGAGCCGGCCCGUGUGACUUGUUAGUUCGGGCUCACAAGCUUAUAUUUAUAUUAAAAAAACAAAUUAAAUUUAAAGGCAGCGUCCUACUGCCUACAACCUAUUGCCUUAAAAAAAGGCAUAUUAAUAAAAAAAUAAAAAAUACCAAAAUCAAAACAAAAAUUGAGUCUGCCCAACUCUACUCGGCUCGUUGACAUCUCUAGAGGACCUAUAGCGUAAGAGGUUGGCCCCCGAAACAAAUAGUUCUUAUGAUGGAUUGUCGGGUUUUAUAUUGAGUGAUAUAUGGUAUGAUUGUGCCUAUCUUUUCCUACAUUAGUUGGUAUUUGUGUUCAAUUCGUUAUGGGAUGUAGAAUGACAUGGAGUACCUUUGACUAUGAACACCAAACGAAUAGUGCUCAGAGUAGAUUUUUUUGUACGAUGAAUGAGUUUAAUUAUAAUAAUCAUGUGGGCCCUCCCACCAUGUGAGUGGAGGCACCCAUUAUGUACAAAAAAUUUAUGUACCACAAGCAUUAUUAUAUAUAUAUAUAUAUAUAUAUGUGUGUGUGUGUGUUUUACAAUAAUCUUAUUUAAACUUUUUAGGUAAAUUAUUGAGCUUACCAAAACAAGCACUAGGAUUGACUUUCCAUCACAUCAUCUCCCUGCAGAGUCUUAAACAGUCACAGCCAGCCAUUCCAUUUAAGAGAAAAGCAUGUUUGAGCUCUAUUUCUUUAUUAUUAUUAUUUUUGGAUUAAAAAUGUAUUUUAGAAAAUUAGUUUGACAGAAAAUGUAUGGUUAAAAAAUAAGAAAAAAAUUUGAAUUUACGUUUAAUAUUAUUUUAUUAAAAAACGUGUGAUUGAAAAAAAAAAAAGAAAAAUAUAUUUUUAAAAUAAUGUGAAUCAAACUAGGGCUUAAUUUUUAAUUUUACUUUGGAGUGCGUAUGGUGUGGGGUGCUUUCGGCCAAUGGUG